rnacentral:rRNA from 1 species
UACGUAGGGAGCAAGCGUUGUCCGGAAUCAUUGGGCGUAAAGCGUGCGUAGACGGUUGCGUAAGUCAGAUGUGAAAGCCCCGGGCUCAACCUGGGAAUUGCAUUUGAGACUGCGUAGCUAGGGUGCGGAAGAGGGAAGCGGAAUUUCCGGUGUAGCGGUGAAAUGCGUAGAUAUCGGAAGGAACACCAGUGGCGAAAGCGGCUUCCUGGUCCAGCACCGACGUUCAGGCACGAAAGCGUGGGGAGCAAACAGG